rnacentral:tRNA from 1 species
GGCCCCGUGGCGGAAUUGGUAGACGCACCGGACUUAAAAUCCGUUGUUCCGAAAGGGACGUGCCCGUUCGACUCGGGCCGGGGCCACCA